ACGAACGCUGGCGGCGUGCUUAACACAUGCAAGUCGAACGGUGAAGCGCCUUCCUUUUUGGUGGGUGUGGAUGAGUGGCGAACGAGUGAGUAACACGUGAGUAACCUGCCCCCUUCUUCUGGAUAACCGCAUGAAAGUGUGGCUAAUACGGGAUAUUCUGGGUCUGUCGCAUGAUGGGUCUGGGAAAGAUAUUGUUUCGGUGGGGGAUGGGCUCGCGGCCUAUCAGCUUGUUGGUGGGGUGAUGGCCUACCAAGGCGGUGACGGGUAGCCGGCCUGAGAGGGUGGACGGUCACACUGGGACUGAGACACGGCCCAGACUCCUACGGGAGGCAGCAGUGGGGAAUAUUGCACAAUGGGCGCAAGCCUGAUGCAGCGACGCCGCGUGAGGGAUGGAGGCCUUCGGGUUGUGAACCUCUUUCGCCAGUGAAGCAGGCCUGCCUCGUUUGUGGGUGGGUUGACGGUAGCUGGAUAAGAAGCGCCGGCUAACUACGUG
rnacentral:rRNA from 1 species